rnacentral:rRNA from 1 species
UACGUAGGGUGCAAGCGUUGUCCGGAAUUAUUGGGCGUAAAGAGCUCGUAGGCGGUCUGUCGCGUCUGCUGUGAAAACUCAGGGCUUAACCCUGAGCUUGCAGUGGGUACGGGCAGACUAGAGUGCGGUAGGGGAGACUGGAAUUCCUGGUGUAGCGGUGAAAUGCGCAGAUAUCAGGAGGAACACCGGUGGCGAAGGCGGGUCUCUGGGCCGACACUGACGCUGAGGAGCGAAAGCGUGGGGAGCAAACAGG